rnacentral:rRNA from 1 species
AUUUAAAACUUUCAACAACGGAUCUCUUGGUUCCGGCAUCGAUGAAGAACGCAGCGAAAUGCGAUACGUAAUGUGAAUUGCAAAUUCAGUGAAUCAUCGAGUCUUUGAACGCACAUUGCGCCCCCUGGUAUUCCGGGGGGCAUGCCUGUCCGAGCGUC